rnacentral:rRNA from 1 species
UACGGAGGGUGCGAGCGUUGUCCGGAAUCAUUGGGCGUAAAGGGCGCGUAGGUGGCUUCUUAAGCGUGCGGUGAAAGCCUGGGGCUCAACCCCGGGUCGGCCGUGCGAACUGGGGGGCUGGAGCACUGUAGAGGCAGGCGGAAUUCCGGGUGUAGCGGUGGAAUGCGUAGAGAUCCGGAAGAACACCGGUGGCGAAGGCGGCCUGCUGGGCAGUUGCUGACACUGAGGCGCGACAGCGUGGGGAGCAAACAGGG